rnacentral:rRNA from 1 species
GAUCAUGGCUCAGGAUGAACGCUGGCGGCGUGCUUAACACAUGCAAGUCGAACGAAGCACUUAAGAUUGAUUCUUCGGAUGAUUUCUUUUGUGACUUAGUGGCGGACGGGUGAGUAACGCGUGGGUAACCUGCCUCACACAGGGGGAUAACAGUUAGAAAUGACUGCUAAUACCGCAUAAUCCGAUAGGAUCGCAUGAUCCAGACGGAAAAGAUUUAUCGGUGUGAGAUCGG